GACAGAGGGUGCAAACGUUGUUCGGAUUUACUGGGCGUAAAGCGUGUGUAGGCGGCUUGGCAAGUUGGAUGUGAAAGCCUACGGGCUCAACCGUGGAAGCGCACCCAAAACUGCUUCGCUCGAGUCUCGGGAGAGGGAAGGUGGAAUGCUUGGUGUGAGAGGUGGAAAUUCGUAGAUAUCAAAGCAGAACACCUGCGGCGAAGGCG
rnacentral:rRNA from 1 species